UACGUAGGGUGCGAGCGUUGUCCGGAAUUAUUGGGCGUAAAGGGCUCGUAGGCGGUCUGUCACGUCGGGAGUGAAAACUCAGGGCUUAACCCUGAGCCUGCUUCCGAUACGGGCAGACUAGAGGUAUGCAGGGGAGAACGGAAUUCCUGGUGUAGCGGUGAAAUGCGCAGAUAUCAGGAGGAACACCGGUGGCGAAGACGGUUCUCUGGGCAUUACCUGACGCUGAGGAGCGAAAGUGUGGGGAGCGAACAGG
rnacentral:rRNA from 1 species